rnacentral:rRNA from 1 species
AGAGUUUGAUCCUGGCUCAGAUUGAACGCUGGCGGUAUGCUUAACACAUGCAAGUCGAACGGUAACAGGCCUUCGGGCGCUGACGAGUGGCGGACGGGUGAGUAACGCGUAGGAAUCUGCCUGGUAGUGGGGGGCAACAUGGGGAACCUCAUGCUAAUACCGCAUACGCCCUAAGGGGGAAAGCGGGGGACCUUCGGGCCUCGCGCUAUCAGAUGAGCCUGCGUUAGAUUAGCUAGUUGGUGGGGUAAAGGCCUACCAAGGCGACGAUCUAUAGCUGGUCUGAGAGGACGAUCAGCCACACUGGGACUGAGACACGGCCCAGACUCCUACGGGAGGCAGCAGUGGGGAAUAUUGGACAAUGGGCGCAAGCCUGAUCCAGCAAUACCGCGUGUGUGAAGAAGGCCUGAGGGUUGUAAAGCACUUUCAAUGGGGAGGAAAAAAGUCUGGUUAAUAGCCGGGCUCUUGACAUUACCUAUAGAAGAAGCACCGGCUAACUCCGUGCCAGCAGCCGCGGUAAUACGGAGGGUGCGAGCGUUAAUCGGAAUUACUGGGCGUAAAGCGUGCGUAGGCGGUUAUUUAAGUCAGAUGUGAAAGCCCUGGGCUUAACCUGGGAACGGCAUUUGAUACUGGGUAACUAGAGUUUAAUAGAGGAGAGUGGAAUUUCAGGUGUAGCGGUGAAAUGCGUAGAGAUCUGAAGGAACACCAGUGGCGAAGGCGGCUCUCUGGAUUAAAACUGACGCUGAGGUACGAAAGCGUGGGUAGCAAACAGGAUUAGAUACCCUGGUAGUCCACGCCGUAAACGAUGUCAACUAGCCGUUGGGUCUUUUCGAAGACUUAGUGGUGCAGCUAACGCAUUAAGUUGACCGCCUGGGGAGUACGGCCGCAAGGUUAAAACUCAAAGGAAUUGACGG